rnacentral:rRNA from 1 species
ACCAGCAGCAACGUACAAUUGGCAACCCACUGAAGCUAAGCAGGUGUGAGCCUGGUCAGUACCUGAAUGGGAGACCUCCUGGGAAAAACUAAGGUUGCUGCUGGAA